rnacentral:snRNA from 1 species
GUGCUCACUUUGUCAGCACAUAUGCUAAAACUAAAAUGAUACAAAAGAUUAGCAUGCUCCCUACUCAAGGAUGACAGGCAAAUUCAUGAUUUUUGUGGAAUCUAG